rnacentral:rRNA from 1 species
GGAUUAGAUACCCUGGUAGUCCACGCCGUAAACGAUGUGCACUAGAUCGAGGGGGCUCUGACGUCGCUCUCGGUCGAAGCGAAAGUGUUAAGUGCACCGCCUGGGGAGUACGGUCGCAAGGCUAAAACUCAAAGGAAUUGACGGGGGCUCACACAAGCGGUGGAGCAUGUGGCUUAAUUCGAAGCAACGCGAAGAACCUUAUCCUGGGUUUGACAUGUAUGGAUUAGCUCUGUGAAAGCAGAGUGAAGCGGCUUGCCGUGGAACAUACACAGGUGCUGCAUGGCUGUCGUCAGCUCGUGUUG